GACAAUCAUAACUUCAGAUAAUGCGUUAUAUUUCAAACUUAUAUCAUAAAUAGUAUCAAAACCGUAUUGCAUCCAGAAUCAAAUCCAAUGGAGAUUUAUACCAGAACUGGCUCCACGGUUUGGCGGUUUCUAUGAAAGAUUAAUAGGCUUGGUUAAGCACUGCAUGAAGAGGACGUUUCAGAAACACUUACUGAAGGAUACCCAGUUGAUGACAGUAAUGAAAGAAAUUGAGGCAAUAUUAAAUACGAGACCAUUAAUGACUGUAGACACUAAAAUGGAACAUGUUCUCACACCAGCCGACUUCCUUACAGCUGGUAGAUGUAUCACCUUAGUAGAUUCGCAGGAAAAAUUACUACUAGAAGGUGCAACUACAAAGGUAGACCUAGUAAAGAGCUGGCGAAAAGUUAGAAUAGUUCUAGAGGAGUUAAAAGAAAGGUUUGAAAACCAAUAUCUUCCGAGCCUGAGGGAACAAUAUUGGAAUUCUCACAAUGAUCCUAGAAUAUUAUCGAAGGAGUUACCUAAAGUAGAUCAGAUUGUACAGAUCAAAGAAAAUAAAAACCGUGAAGAUUGGAGAGUUGGCAAAAUAGUUUCUCUUAUUAGAGGAUCUGAUAGUUAAUGGAACCGAUUAACGAGAUUGAAUUACCUAUUGACAAUGCAGAGUCGAUCAGAGGUGAUAGCACAGUAAUAAAUGAAAUUAGCAAUAAUUUAGAUGAACAACUAGAUAAAAUACCACUCCGUAUAGCGAAAGUUUAGGCGCUGAAAAAGAUAAGAACGGACGAAGGAGUUGUCAAAUCAAUAUCUCUUUCCUUUCGGGCGGGAGUGUCGCGAAAGGUCGCGAAAUCAUUGAAAGGCUGGCAACACCAAAGUGAGUAUUUGCUGAUGUAUACAUAGAUAUUGUGAGUAUGUUCCUAUAUUUACGCAGAUAUUGUGAGUAUCUUUCACCAAAUAUAAGUAUAUUAUAUUAUGAAUAUUGUCCAUAGAUAGAAUACUAUAUCGUCUAUGUGUAUUAAGUGAGUUUUGCACACUUUUCUGUUGAGAGUACCGCGUACAGAAUAUAUCUUGCAUGAGUGAGUGAGUGGUUUACUGUAGUACCAACAUUCCCUGACUAUAAAGUUACAAUAUGGCCGAAAGUACAAAUGCGCGCCAUUUAAGUAGAACUUUGAAGUUGUGUUUAACUAAAGAUCUAAACAUAUAAAUGAGCGGUCUCUCUGAUGUGACACGAUAAGGAAUUUGCCGCCAUCUAGGAAUGUUGUCUUGGAAAACCACAGUCCGUAUAACACAGAACAUUACAAGGUGCGACAUCAUCGCACGUGAUAUUUUACCUUUUCGCCACUAAACCCCCAAACGGGCGAAAACACCGAGAUAGUGAAAAGAAAAUCCAACAUAUUGCAAAACUCGAAGAUCGAACCCUAGACCUUCAGCACUGUAGUCGUAUCAUAUAACUACGCCACUGAGGCAGUAGGUACCAGCUGACAUUUACAUAUGUACAGCCUGAUCUGCAUGGAUUUGAUAUUUAACAUCUUCAUCUUCGAUAUAGUUAUAAAAGAAAUUUAAUGUAUCGACAGUGGUCUUACUCUAUUAGUCGGAAUUGUCUUUUAGUAAUAAAUUUUAUGCAUAAGAUGUACUUACUUAUUUAGUAGGUCAGUGUGCAAAAAUAAGGUGAUUCAUUUAUGUUGUAAGUAUAAACAUUAAAAGUGAUUUUUGUUUGAGUAGGGAUACGAUGAACUCACUAACAA
rnacentral:lncRNA from 1 species